rnacentral:rRNA from 1 species
UGCAAGUCGAGCGGUAGAGAGAAGCUUGCUUCUCUUGAGAGCGGCGGACGGGUGAGUAAUGCCUAGGAAUCUGCCUGGUAGUGGGGGAUAACGUCCGGAAACGGACGCUAAUACCGCAUACGUCCUACGGGAGAAAGCAGGGGACCUUCGGGCCUUGCGCUAUCAGAUGAGCCUAGGUCGGAUUAGCUAGUUGGUGAGGUAAUGGCUCACCAAGGCGACGAUCCGUAACUGGUCUGAGAGGAUGAUCAGUCACACUGGAACUGAGACACGGUCCAGACUCCUACGGGAGGCAGCAGUGGGGAAUAUUGGACAAUGGGCGAAAGCCUGAUCCAGCCAUGCCGCGUGUGUGAAGAAGGUCUUCGGAUUGUAAAGCACUUUAAGUUGGGAGGAAGGGCAUUAACCUAAUACGUUAGUGUUUUGACGUUACCGACAGAAUAAGCACCGGCUAACUCUGUGCCAGCAGCCGCGGUAAUACAGAGGGUGCAAGCGUUAAUCGGAAUUACUGGGCGUAAAGCGCGCGUAGGUGGUUUGUUAAGUUGGAUGUGAAAGCCCCGGGCUCAACCUGGGAACUGCAUUCAAAACUGACAAGCUAGAGUAUGGUAGAGGGUGGUGGAAUUUCCUGUGUAGCGGUGAAAUGCGUAGAUAUAGGAAGGAACACCAGUGGCGAAGGCGACCUGGACUGAUACUGACACUGAGGUGCGAAAGCGUGGGGAGCAAACAGGAUUAGAUACCCUGGUAGUCCACGCCGUAAACGAUGUCAACUAGCCGUUGGGAGCCUUGAGCUCUUAGUGGCGCAGCUAACGCAUUAAGUUGACCGCCUGGGGAGUACGGCCGCAAGGUUAAACUCAAAUGAAUUGACGGGGGCCCGCACAAGCGGUGGAGCAUG